GCAGUGCUCCUUCCUAGGCAGUCAUUUCCCAUUUUGUAUGUGUGCAACUGAUUGUUCCUUCCUAAGUGGAGUACUUUGUCUUUAUUGAAUUUCAUCCUAUUUACUUCAGACCAUUUCACCAAUUUGCCCAGAUCAUUUAGAAUUUGAAUCCCAUCCUCU